rnacentral:rRNA from 1 species
CCUCCCUAGAGCGGCGGACUGGUGAGUAACGCGUGGGUAAUCUAUCUUAGGCAUGGGGAUAGUCACUAGAAAUAGUGGGUAAUACCGAAUAAGUUCCAUAAGGGGAGGACUUAUGGAAGAAAGGUGCUACGGCACUGGCCUUAGGUGAGCUCGCGUCCCAUUAGCUAGUUGGUGAGGUAAAGGCCCACCAAGGCGAUGAUGGGUAGCCGGCCUGAGAGGGUGUACGGCCACACUGGGACUGAGAUACGGCCCAGACUCCUACGGGAGGCAGCAGCUAAGAAUAUUCCGCAAUGGACGGAAGUCUGACGGAGCGACGCCGCGUGGAUGAAGAAGGCCGAAAGGUUGUAAAGUUCUUUUGCUAGGGGAGAAUAAGUGUGGGAGGGAAUGCCUGCACGAUGACAAGGACUAGCGAAUAAGUCCCGGCCAACUACGUGCCAGCAGCCGCGGUAACACGUAGGGGGCGAGCGUUGUUCGGAAUUACUGGGCGUAAAGGGCAUGUAGGCGGCUUGGUAAGCCUGGCGUGAAAGUCUGCAGCUUAACUGUAGGGAUGCGUUGGGAACUGCUUAGCUUGAGUUACGGAGAGGGAGCUGGAAUUCCUGGUGUAGGGGUGAAAUCUGUAGAUAUCAGGAAGAACACCGAUGGCGAAGGCAAGCUUCUGGCCGACAACUGACGCUGAGGUGCGAAAGUGUGGGGAUCAAACAGGAUUAGAUACCCUGGUAGUCCACACAGUAAACGAUGUGCACGAGGUGCUGGGGCGGUAGUUUC